CAAGCAGGUUUAGUAGUCAAACAGCUCUCCCAUCCGGCCAACCUACUUCUUCGGGGCUAUUAGCUCCAAUCUCUGAAUUUGGAGCUAAAAGCAUAGAAGAGAGCAGACGAGGCCAUGAAAGUUUUGGUAAAGGCCAUAAAAGUGAUGAGAGUUACAUGGCAGGUUUCGCCUUGCCUUCUUGGGAUGAUUCACAAAUUUUGACUGAUGAUUUCCUACAAGUACCAGAAGAUGAUGAGUCCGG
rnacentral:misc_RNA from 1 species